UCUUAGGAACACACUGUUCCAGUUUCGGGCCAGGUGCACCAAACAACAGACAGAAUAACCCAGGGGACUAAUUGUUCGUGUGUCCUCAGAGAACGCAAAAAAAGUGUCCUUUUUCGUUCCACCUUACCCAUGGAACAACUCAUGAUCCUGCUCUCGCGACUCGCCCGAACGCAGAUGCUGCUUUUUCGGUGAAACCUGACUGUUUCUACUCCCCUGCCUCCUGAGGCCCACGGCCUCCACAGAGUCAUUCUCUCAUCUUGCCACUGGUAUCUGCCAAGCAACGAUGGUGUUUAUCGGUGCUUCGCUGCUCUGAAUGGUGUUGAAGAUAACAUUUUUUUUAUGGAUCUCACAAUUAUUAGUUCAAGCUCGAAUAACAACCUUUUUUAGUUAA